rnacentral:rRNA from 1 species
UACGUAGGGUGCGAGCGUUUGUUCGGAAUUACUGGGCGUAAAGAGCUCGUAGGUGGUUUGUCGCGUUGUUCGUGAAAACUCACAGCUUAACUGUGGGCGUGCGGGCGAUACGGGCAGACUGGAGUACUGCAGGGGAGACUGGAAUUCCUGGUGUAGCGGUGAAAUGCGCAGAUAUCAGGAGGAACACCGGUGGCGAAGGCGGUUCUCUGGGCAUUACCUGACGCUGAGGAGCGAAAGUGUGGGGGAGCGAACAGG